UACGUAGGUGGCGAGCGUUGUCCGGAUUUACUGGGCGUAAAGGGAGCGUAGGCGGACUUUUAAGUGAGAUGUGAAAUACUCGGGCUCAACUUGAGUGCUGCAUUUCAAACUGGAAGUCUAGAGUGCAGGAGAGGAGAAUGGAAUUCCUAGUGUAGCGGUGAAAUGCGUAGAGAUCAGGAGGAACACCAGUGGCGAAGGCGAUUCUCUGGACUGUAACUGACGCUGAGGCUCGAAAGCGUGGGGAGCAAACAGG
rnacentral:rRNA from 1 species